UACGUAGGGGGCAAGCGUUGUCCGGAUUUAUUGGGCGUAAAGAGCGUGUAGGCGGCCAGGUAGGUCCGUUGUGAAAACUCGAGGCUCAACCUCGAGACGUCGAUGGAAACCAUCUGGCUAGAGUCCGGAAGAGGAGAGUGGAAUUCCUGGUGUAGCGGUGAAAUGCGCAGAUAUCAGGAAGAACACCAGUGGCGAAGGCGGCUCACUGGCCCGGUACUGACGCUGAGGCGCGAAAGCGUGGGGAGCAAACAGG
rnacentral:rRNA from 1 species